UACGAAGGGGGCUAGCGUUGUUCGGAAUUACUGGGCGUAAAGGGCGCGUAGGCGGUGUGUCAAGUCAGGCGUGAAAGCCCCGGGCUCAACCUGGGAACCGCGCUUGAGACUGGCACGCUCGAGUUCGGGAGAGGAUGGUGGAAUUCCCGAGUGUAGAGGUGAAAUUCGUAGAUAUUGGGAAGAACACCGAUGGCGAAGGCAGCCAUCUGGACCGACACUGACGCUGAGGCGCGAAAGCGUGGGGGAGCAAACAGG
rnacentral:rRNA from 1 species